GAUGAACGCUGGCGGCGUGCCUAAUACAUGCAAGUCGAGCGAACAGACGAGGAGCUUGCUCCUCUGACGUUAGCGGCGGACGGGUGAGUAACACGUGGAUAACCUACCUAUAAGACUGGGAUAACUUCGGGAAACCGGAGCUAAUACCGGAUAAUAUAUUGAACCGCAUGGUUCAAUAGUGAAAGACGGUUUUGCUGUCACUUAUACAUGGAUCCGCGCCGCAUUAGCUAGUUGGUAAGGUAACGGCUUACCAAGGCAACGAUGCGUAGCCGACCUGAGAGGGUGAUCGGCCACACUGGAACUGAGACACGGUCCAGACUCCUACGGGAGGCAGCAGUAGGGAAUCUUCCGCAAUGGGCGAAAGCCUGACGGAGCAACGCCGCGUGAGUGAUGAAGGUCUUCGGAUCGUAAAACUCUGUUAUUAGGGAAGAACAAAUGUGUAAGUAACUAUGCACGUCUUGACGGUACCUAAUCAGAAAGCCACGGCUAACUACGUG
rnacentral:rRNA from 1 species